rnacentral:rRNA from 1 species
GACGAACGCUGGCGGCGUGCUUAACACAUGCAAGUCGAACGGAGUUACGUAUGAAGUAUUUCGGUACGGACUAUGUAACUUAGUGGCGAACGGGUGAGUAACACGUGGGCAACCUGCCCUUAACCGGGGGAUAACAUUGUGAAAACAGUGCUAAUACCGCAUAACAGAGUAUCGGGCAUCCGAUAUUUUAAAAGGAGCAAUCCGGUUUAGGAUGGGCCCGCGUCCAAUUAGCUAGUUGGUGAGGUAACGGCUCACCAAGGCUACGAUUGGUAGCCGAACUGAGAGGUUGAUCGGCCACAUUGGGACUGAGACACGGCCCAGACUCCUACGGGAGGCAGCAGUGGGGAAUAUUGGGCAAUGGGCGAAAGCCUGACCCAGCGACGCCGCGUGAAGGAUGAAGGUCUUCGGAUUGUAAACUUCUUUGAUCAGGGAAGAAAGAAAUGACGGUACCUGAAGAACAAGCCACGGCUAACUACGUG